ACAGAGAGUGAUUUGUGAGUGAUUCGUGAGUUCAAUAUGAACAAAUCUUUCAUAUAACUCGGGAGUCGCGAGUCAUAUGAAAGAUUCGUUUAUGUCGAACGAAUCACUCGCAAACGACAAAUCACUACUGUGGAUGGAACACGGCACAUGAGUUGAGUUGAUGUGUGAGACCGGGAUUGUUCUGUUGUUUUGGCGUGGUUACCACCGACAGUAACCAAGUUCUGUAAUCAAACAGAACUCUGUAAUCAAACGUUUAGCAAUAAAUGCAGAAAGUUUUUUUCAAGAUGGCAGCGCUCUGUGCGGCAACUUCGGCUCCCGGCUACACAGCCAAAACAUCGCUAGAUUGAAGAGAACAUUGUUUUCUAUAGUAAAAACUAAGCGAAACUGCGCUAGAAGUAUAUAUGACCGUAAAGUUAUACUAGGUUUAAGCAAGUUCGGACAGUUGGACUACGUAAAGUUAGAGACGCGGAGCACUCUACAGAGCCUUGGUCUUCUACGGCGGUCAGACCCAGCGGCCUACACAACAGCGGAGUCCCCUACCAGCACAUGGCCGUCCACGGAGUCACCGGUGGCUCUUCCCUCCAUUCUGCUUGCCAACGUACGUUCCAUAGAAUACCAACUGGAUUACCUUAAAAUGGACUUAACACUGGACUUGGUCUACAUCAACAUCAAGAAGGCCUUCAGAGCAGCCCCCCGCCCCCACCUUGGCUCCUCAGACCAUCUCUCUGUUAUGAUAAUUCCAGCAUACCAGCCCCUGCUCAUCGGAGAAAAGUCUGCUGUGAAGAAGGAAGAGUUGUCCUGGCCAAGAGAACGAUGGAGGCAGCCAAUCCAUCAGAAUAUAAAUACAUGGAAAACAGUAUACCCAUAGAUUGGGACGCUUGGAUCCGAGACAGGAGGAAGGAACCCCCCACCAUCGAGGUACGUUUCCCUCCCUCCCCCCAGCCUCCCUGCUGUGCUGAUGGUUGGACUCCAGGGGACUGGUUACACAGGAGGAAAAGAAGCAAAGAUGGAAAAAAGUGACUGUUUGAUUUGUUUUAUCUCACAGUUUGGAACUGAAUCCAGUAAGUUUGGGGGACAUGUGUUAAAAUAAACAGAAGUGCACUGAUGGCAAGACAGAGCAAAGACAGCCUCCGAACAAGAGGCUUACUGACACCAUGUCCUAGCUUACUUUCUUUUUUCUUCCAGCAUAAGCCUGCAUUUCGGCUUUUUGUGUUUUAUUUCUGGCAGGCUGCAGGAUUGGAAUGUUGAAGAAGUGCAGUCCCCCAACCCCCCACUCCCCAUGUACAUCUCACUGGGUAUAUUGCUCUUUAAAUCUGAGAAUGCUGGGAAUUAUUUGGCCAGUGAAAUGCAGGUCUGUAGGAAAUCCCUGAGAAAGCUGACACACAGGCAUUCCUUCUAUCUGUCUGUCCUCUGUCCCAGUCUGUGGCAAAUGCCAUCCCCUGCCUCCUAUGCCAGAACAUUCUCUUCCAAUUUUCUGCCCCUGCUGUUGCCCAAUAGCUGCCAUCAACAGCUGGACAGUGUUGAUGUGGCCAAGGUUUUACUCCCAGCACAUUACCCUACCCCUUGUCACGCUCUAUGUCUUCCCAGUCCAAGCCGACAUAAAUUGAUUGGAUUAAACCCUGUCAUUAACAGGCUGGAAAAGCAGCUCAGUAUGUUUGUCUCUCUCCCCAAAGUGAGGCUUCUGGGCCACAGCUCUCCCCCUCUCUUUUCCAUUCCCACAGUUCUGCCAACACAUAACAUCAUUAUGCCCAGUACACCCUUCCUUUUGGCUGCCCGUAUUAGGGAGAGGCUAACAUCAGUGGACACUAGCUGAGCCUCGAGUGGAUAAGUGUUCCACUGGUCUGGACUUUGCUCAGGUUAUAAUUGUUUCCAUGAGGUGGAAUGGUUGUUUACGUUGCGGAUGCCUCCUGUCAGGUUAGUUUACCCAUCUGUGUCAAGCACUACACUUCUAACCAGAGUUUAUUGGAACAAUAUACAGCAGGUUAACAGAACACUUGUGUCCCUUUUCUAGUAAAUGCCCCGUUUUAUUCUCCACACAUUUGUUCCUGGAAGCUGCUGAGUGUAACUUUAUGUCAUUUUGCUUUUGACCCACUGAUGUUACGUUACACUAAGACUGAACAGCUAUCGCUAACGGAGAGGGGUGAGGUGGGGGGUAUCACUGAUUCCAGUGGCGGGCUGUGCAUUUCACACCUAGGCUUUCAGUGAUGUCCUACUUAGUCCGACUUCAAUAAAUACCUCUCAUAAUAUCAUAAUUUAGGACACCACGUGACCACGGCUGGAGAAAUUGUAUACAGAAACACACUAUAAGCAAUACUGGGCAUUGCAUCAUCUCAAUUGUGUCCAAAACGGGCUAUUUUCGGACGCAUUAAAAAAAAUCAAUAAAUCCGCAAGUAAAUAAAUAAAAUAAAUAAAAUGUUUGUACUCACUAAAACAGCUGUCCUCCAAAACAGUUAUUUUAACACAAAAUCCAUUCUCCCUUCUUUCCUCAAGAAGACCUCAAUGACUUGGUUGUACAAUUUAUCUGUGCGCUUCAGUUCCAACAAUAAAUCCCUUUCGCACCUGUUCGUUGAGCUGUGCAUCCACUCGGGUGCCCCAAAAAGUUUUAGAAGCACCACAGCUUGCAAGUGUCCAGUCGUGCUUUGGUGUCUCAUUGCUGCAGUAAUUAAGCAAUUUAAGUUCAAUUUAACUUCUUGUUGUUUUAACGCGGUAAGCGAGUAUCCAAUUACAGGACGCAUACAUGUCAUGUUCAACGUGAGGCUAGCUAGAAGGCCUACUGUCAACAACUCCUGAUCUGAUUGGCUAUCGUAACUGUCUAUCAACUGUAUGUGCCCGUUUGCUUCCAUUGCAGACACCCGCAUUGUUGGUUCUGAACACCAUAGGCAGAUUUCAUACAGCCUGGCAACAGCUAGCUGAAUUCUGAUUGGAUAAAAGCUCUAACCUAAAAACAACAACACUGGAAGGAGCCUGAUAUGACAUGAAGAGAAUAUGAAGAAUAUGAAGUGUGUUAUGUAUUUAGGAAAAGUACAUUAAAAAUGAAAUGAACUUUUAUCAACUUAUGAUCAUGAUUUAUGUUAGGCUAGCAGAGAAGGCCUUGCUGGCCCUGACGGCCCAAAACCGACUGAUUCAUACUCCCAAAAUAUGUUGCACUUAACUUUUUUAAAUCGCGGUACAUCUGCAGCACUGAAACCCAGGGUGAUGAUGUCAUACAGGUGGGGUUGUGUGACAUCCUGGAGAAGCAGAGGAAUUCACCAGUUUCACAUCACAUCUGUUGUCCCUUACACACACCCAGCUGAACACACUGGUCACCACUGCUGUAUGUGUGUAGUAAGUUGAAUAUAAAGCAGCUCACUCACUGGUUGCAAAUGGAGGACCAAAAUAAACCUGGAACUCUUCUGCUGGUUUUGGAAGUAACCCCCAGUGACUGUGUGUCUAUGGGAAAAUAAGACUAAUUCUGCAUUUCAAUUGUCAUCAUUUUCUUGAAAUGUUCUGUUCAAUAGAAAACAGAAAUUAGAAUCACAUUUUUUAAGGGCAAAAACUCUGACACAAGCCUGGUUUUAACCUGUAGGCUGCUUCCUAUUGGGUCAUAUAUUUUACUCUCUCUAAAACUGACCUCAUGUUUAAUUGCAGUCAACCUAAAGUUGCUGAUACUUCAAACAACGGUUGACAGUAAUGUUGACGUGCUUUAAAAAUCAACUAAAUCAAGUACACCGUUGCAUGUAAACGUGAGUCGAGUUAAUCAAUACAUUUGUAUGGAGCUGUGUCUUACAGAAGCAGAGAAUUCCGUGCCUUCAUUUAUGGACAGAUUGCCUAAAAAACUUAAACUAACAGACAAAGGGCUGAAUCUCUAACAUCCUCGAAAAAGUGGUGUAUCAAUUACUAAUUACUAAAUCUUCUUUUGUGAUUUACUUGCUGUAUUUGUAAGGUUUUUAGGUUAUGGUGAAAACUCUAGAAACCCAGAAUGUGACUCUUGUCUGUUUUUUUUUUCCUUUGCUUGUUUGGUUUUGUAGGAGCUUAGAGAAUCAGUCCUAUAGGGAACAAAUCGAGCUGAAGGUGAAAGAGUUGGACCAGGCCCGGUCGCUUCAGUAGUACAAAGAUGGACUGGUAACUGCUCCCGUACAGGCGGUAGCCAAAGGCCAUGCCACAGCCAGCACCUAUGACAAGCCGGAUUUUUCAGAGGAACCCACCAGCACUGCAAACACUUUUCAGCCUGGCUCUUGGAAGCCCAAUUCCAAGAAAUACGUUUGUGCUGUGAAAUACAAUACAAUCUAAUAGACCAGCCCUACA